GAUGAACGCUGGCGGCGUGCCUAAUACAUGCAAGUCGAGCGAACAGACGAGGAGCUUGCUCCUCUGACGUUAGCGGCGGACGGGUGAGUAACACGUGGAUAACCUACCUAUAAGACUGGGAUAACUUCGGGAAACCGGAGCUAAUACCGGAUAAUAUAUUGAACCGCAUGGUUCAAUAGUGAAAGACGGUUUUGCUGUCACUUAUAGAUGGAUCCGCGCCGCAUUAGCUAGUUGGUAAGGUAACGGCUUACCAAGGCAACGAUGCGUAUCCGACCUGAGAGGGUGAUCGGCCACACUGGAACUGAGACACGGUCCAGACUCCUACGGGAGGCAGCAGUAGGGAAUCGUCCGCAAUGGGCGAAAGCCUGACGGAGCAACGCCGCGUGAGUGAUGAAGGUCUUCGGAUCGUAAAACUCUGUUAUUAGGGAAGAACAAAUGUGUAAGUAACUAUGCACGUCUUGACGGUACCUAAUCAGAAAGCCACGGCUAACUACGUG
rnacentral:rRNA from 1 species